GGGCGCUUAGCUCAGCCGGUUCAGAGCAUCUGCCUUACAAGCAGAGGGUCGGGGGUUCGAAUCCCUCAGCGCCCACCA
rnacentral:tRNA from 2 species